rnacentral:hammerhead_ribozyme from 1 species
AUCCAACCGAUGAGUCCCGAAUAAGACGAAAGGCGCGUCAAAUUGGAU